rnacentral:tRNA from 1 species
UAUGUGUAAGUUUGGUAUUUGAAACCAAAGUAGUCAUGAAAAUUGAUGCACGUUA